rnacentral:lncRNA from 1 species
ACUUAGUAGAAGUUUUCUUCAGCAUUUUGAACAUUGUUGUUUGCGAUGUAACUAUUAGAGCAUAAGAUUUACUUUAGUAAGCAAGAAAGUAGUGUUAGUAGAGAUAAGGAGUAAGAAGCAAAUAUUUUACAAUAUCAAUAGAAAGAGUGAAGAGAGCUAUGAACAGAAAAGAAAGCUACCAUAAUGUGAGAGCUAAGAGUAGUUUGAGGUUGUCGUCCUUAGUAGUUUUACCAAUAUGCAACCAAUGAAGUU